UACGAAGGGGGCUAGCGUUGUCCGGAUUUAUUGGGCGUAAAGAGCGUGUAGGCGGCCAGGUAGGUCUGGUGUGAAAACUCGAGGCUUAACCUCGAGAUGUCAUCGGAAACCAUUUGGCUAGAGUCCGGAAGAGGAGAGUGGAAUUCCUGGUGUAGCGGUGAAAUGCGCAGAUAUCAGGAAGAACACCAAUGGCGAAAGCAGCUCUCUGGGACGGUACUGACGCUGAGACGCGAAAGCGUGGGGAGCGAACAGG
rnacentral:rRNA from 1 species